GUCGAGAAUAAUUCACAAUGGACGAAAGUCUGAUGGUGCAACGCCGCGUGGAGGAUGACGGUCUUCGGAUUGUAAACUCCUGUCAUCCGGGAGUAAGACCUGGCUGUGAAUAGCAGACAGGGUUGAUAGUACCGGAAGAGGAAGGGACGGCUAACUUCGUGCCAGCAGCCGCGGUAAUACGAAGGUCCCGAGCGUUGUUCGGAAUCACUGGGCGUAAAGGGAGCGUAGGCUGCGCGGUAAGUCAGGUGUGAAAUCCCGGGGCUCAACCCCGGAACUGCACCCGAUACUGCCGUGCUAGAGGGUUGGAGAGGUGACUGGAAUUCUCGGUGUAGCAGUGAAAUGCGUGGAUAUCGAGAGGAACACUCGUGGCGAAGGCGAGUCACUGGACAACAUCUGACGCUGAGGCUCGAAGGCCAGGGGAGCAAAAGGGAUUAGAAACCCCGGUAGUCC
rnacentral:rRNA from 1 species